AGUCCUGUGGCGCAGUGGUAGCGCGCUGCUCUUAUAUAAAUCACGUGAUAUGAUUCAUAUGGCCUUCGCUAGGUUAUGCAGAUGUCGUGGGUUCGAGUGCGUACACGCCCAGAAUUC